rnacentral:tRNA from 1 species
AAGGGUGUAGCUCAGUGGUAGAGCACGUGCUUGGCAUGCUCGAGGUCCUGGGUUCCACCCUUA